rnacentral:pre_miRNA from 11 species
GGGAUUGGAUGCCAAUGGGCUGCUCAGUAGUCGGUGUAGAAUCUGUCUGAUGAUACCCACAGCUACAUCUGAUUACUGGGUUUCCUGUGGCAUCAGGAAUCUGC